AUUGAACGCUGGCGGCAUGCCUUACACAUGCAAGUCGAACGGUAACGGGCCUUCGGGUGCCGACGAGUGGCGAACGGGUGAGUAAUACAUCGGAACGUGCCCGAUCGUGGGGGAUAACGAGGCGAAAGCUUUGCUAAUACCGCAUACGAUCUACGGAUGAAAGCAGGGGACCGCAAGGCCUUGCGCGGACGGAGCGGCCGAUGGCAGAUUAGGUAGUUGGUGGGAUAAAAGCUUACCAAGCCGACGAUCUGUAGCUGGUCUGAGAGGAUGAUCAGCCACACUGGGACUGAGACACGGCCCAGACUCCUACGGGAGGCAGCAGUGGGGAAUUUUGGACAAUGGGCGCAAGCCUGAUCCAGCCAUGCCGCGUGCAGGAUGAAGGCCUUCGGGUUGUAAACUGCUUUUGUACGGAACGAAAAGCCUUCUUUUAAUACAGGAGAGUCAUGACGGUACCGUAAGAAUAAGCACCGGCUAACUACGUG
rnacentral:rRNA from 1 species